UAAUUCAUAGGUUACUUCAGGAACAACUUCAGGCUGGUCAUAUAGAACCAACACUUAGUCCUUGGAACACACCAAUUUUUGUUAUUAAGAAAAAGUCAGGAAAUUGGAGAUUGCUACAGGAUUUAAGGGUGAUAAAUCAUGCAAGUUGGCUUAUGGGAUCAUUACAGCCAGGACUGCCCUCCCCCACAGCCAUCCCUUUAGACUAUAGCUUGAUGGUAAUAGAUUUAAAAGACUGUUUUUUUUCUCUAUAAGGUUACAUCCUGGAGAUUGUGAAAGAUUUGCUUUCAC
rnacentral:sRNA from 1 species